GGAUAACCUGCCCUUGGGUCCGGCAUAACCCCGGGAAACUGGGGAUAAUUCCGGAUAACGCACAUAUGCUGGAAUGCUUUAUGCGUAAAAUGGAUUCGUCUGCCCAAGGAUGGGUCUGCGGCCUAUCAGGUAGUAGUGGGUGUAAUGUACCUACUAGCCAACAACGGGUACGGGUUGUGAGAGCAAGAGCCCGGAGAUGGAUUCUGAGACAUGAAUCCAGGCCCUACGGGGCGCAGCAGGCGCGAAAACUUUACAAUGCGGGAAACCGUGAUAAGGGGACACCGAGUGCCAGCAUCAUAUGCUGGCUGUCCGGGUGUGUAAAAUACACCUGUCAGCAAGGGCCGGGCAAGACCGGUGCCAGCCGCCGCGGUAACACCGGCGGCCCGAGUGGUGAUCGUGAUUAUUGGGUCUAAAGGGUCCGUAGCCGGUUUGGUCAGUCCUCCGGGAAAUCUGACGGCUCAACCGUUAGGCUUUCGGGGGAUACUGCCAGGCUUGGAACCGGGAGAGGUAAGAGGUACUACAGGGGUAGGAGUGAAAUCUUGUAAUCCCUGUGGGACCACCUGUGGCGAAGGCGUCUUACCAGAACGGGUUCGACGGUGAGGGACGAAAGCUGGGGGCACGAACCGGAUUAGAUACCCGGGUAGUCCCAGCCGUAAACGAUGCUCGCUAGGUGUCANGCAUGGCGCGACCGUGUCUGGUGCCGCAGGGAAGCCGUGAAGCGAGCCACCUGGGAAGUACNGNCGCAAGGCUGAAACUUAA
rnacentral:rRNA from 1 species